CUUAUAUUCAAGCGUGCUGACGUAAUCGGUCUUUCUCUUCCCUUCCUGCGCAGCGUGAGCGUUGGAUAGCGGGUUCCCCGUUCAGCUAAAUCCUUAAACAUCUGCUAAAAUGGCAGACCAGUCUCGUGAAAUCAUCAUUACAAGACUGUGCUCAGACAGACCACUGGCAUAUGGAUGAAUCCCAUCCUUAUGAUGAUGAUGAAGAAGAUUGAAGAUGCUGUGUUGGAGUUGCAGUUGUACCCUUAAUAGCUGUACCAGGCCUUCCAUCACAUUGAGAAUGGACAUAUGGGCAACAUCACGAUUGACCAGUCAUCUGUACCACUGCCUUUGCACAGAUGGACCGUCACCCUGAAACCGUAUGCAGAGAUAUUUGUGAAGAGGUGUGCGGCCAAGUUGGAGGAUGGAUGACUUGAUGAGAAAGUGGUGUUUUGGAGAGAUUGGCUGAUGCAUUGUAUCUUCUGCACCCUGUGUUUAAGGUGUUUGAUUCCAUGAACUUUGAGGAGGACACUGCUAGAGACUUCAAGAUUGAAGCUUCAAUAGUGUGUUUUAACCACUGGCACAGAAAGAAGUGCAGAUCUAUCCAUCUUUUUUUUUUUUAGUUUUUGUACUGUUUACAUAUCUUGUAUACUACGGCAUGCAGCUAUUCUGUACUCUUAUAUUUACACUCGCCUAAAGGAUUAUUAGGAACACCAUACAUACUAAUACUGUGUUUGACCCCUUUCGCCUUCAGAACUGCCUUAAUUCUAUGUGGCAUUGAUUCAACAAGGUGCUGAAAGCAAUUUUUAGAAAUGUUGGGCCAUAUUGAUAGGAUAGCAUCUUGCAGUUGAUGGAGAUUUGUGGGAUGCACAUCCAGGGCACGAAGCUCCCGUUCCACCACAUCCCAAAGAUGCUCUAUUAGGUUGAGAUCUGGUGACUGUGGGGGCCAUUUUAGUACAGUGAAGUCAUUGUCAUGUUCAAGAAACCAAUUUGAAAUGAUUCAAGCUUUGCGACAGUGUGCAUUAUCCUGCUGGAAGUAGCCAUCAGAGGAUGGGUACAUGGUGAUCAUAAAGGGAUGGACAUGGUCAGAAACAGUGCUCAGGUUGGCUGGGGCAUUUAAACGAUGCCCAGUUGGCACUAAGAGGCCUAAAGUGUGCCAAGAAAACAUCCCCCACACCAUUGCAUUAAUGAGAAAUCGAACGGGUGUUCCUAAUAAUCCUUUGCAGUAUACACUCACCUAAUCUUAGUAAAACGAGUGGUAAGAUUAGUCAAAAUGUAUGAAUUUUAUUAGAUCCAUCUUUGAAAGGCUAAAAAUAAACCAUUCAUGAUCAGCAA